CCGGGCACAGGAAGCGCUGGGAGGCCUGAGCCGUCCCAGGGUGCCCCGCGCGGCGUGGACUGGGGCUGCUGCCGCCAUCCCGCUGGCGAGAGCGAGAGAGAGGCCCGCCUGCUCGCCGGCCAGGCCAGUGUGGGCGAGUGCGUGAAGGCGCGGGGGACCGUGUCAGCGAGACGCAGAGCGCAGCCACCACCCCCAAACGGACAUGUUGGAGCCCAGCGCCGCCGCCGCCUCCUUUUCCUCGCCCAGCGAACGGGACUGAGAAGGAGCCCGCCACCCCUCCGCCUCUGCCUCUGCUCGGCCGCCCGCCUCGCCGUCUCGGCCUCAGCCGCUUCCUGCCCGGCCUCGGGCUCCGCCACUCGUCGUCUUCCCCGUCGGUUCCCGGCCCCGCUCCGCCGCGGCGCGAGGUCUAUGUGACCGGCGGGCCGGGAGCAGCCACCGCCGCAACGCGAACAUGGACGCCGUCAACGCCUUCAACCAGGAGUUUGCUUGUUUUGCUGCAGAAGGGAGUGAUUUGGAGGACAGUCUUAUGACCUGUUGAACACAUGAGAUACAGACAGAACAGCUGUGCCAAACGAAG
rnacentral:lncRNA from 1 species